GUGGGGAAUUUUGGACAAUGGGCGCAAGCCUGAUCCAGCAAUGCCGCGUGCAGGAAGAAGGCCUUCGGGUUGUAAACUGCUUUUGUACGGAACGAAACGGCUCUGGUUAAUACCCGGGGCUAAUGACGGUACCGUAAGAAUAAGCACCGGCUAACUACGUGCCAGCAGCCGCGGUAAUACGUAGGGUGCAAGCGUUAAUCGGAAUUACUGGGCGUAAAGCGUGCGCAGGCGGUUUUGUAAGACAGGCGUGAAAUCCCCGGGCUCAACCUGGGAAUGGCGCUUGUGACUGCAAAGCUGGAGUGCGGCAGAGGGGGAUGGAAUUCCGCGUGUAGCAGUGAAAUGCGUAGAUAUGCGGAGGAACACCGAUGGCGAAGGCAAUCCCCUGGGCCUACACUGACGCUCAUGCACGAAAGCGUGGGGAGCAAACAGGAUUAGAAACCCUAGUAGUCC
rnacentral:rRNA from 1 species